rnacentral:rRNA from 1 species
AGUGAACGCUGGCGGUAGGCCUAACACAUGCGAGUCGAACGGCAGCACAGUAAGAGCUUGCUCUUACGGGUGGCGAGUGGCGGACGGGUGAGGAAUACAUCGGAAUCUACUUUUUCGUGGGGGAUAACGUAGGGAAACUUAUGCUAAUACCGCAUACGACCUACGGGUGAAAGCAGGGGAUUUUCGGACCUUGCGCGUUUGAAUGCGCCGAUGUCGGAUGAGCUAGUUGGCGGGGUAAAGGCCCACCAAGGCGACGAUCCGUAGCUGGUCUGCGAGGAUGACCAGCCACAAUGGAACGAUAACCCGGAUCAGACUCCUGCGGCAGGCAGCAGUGUUGAAUAUUGGACGAGUGGCGGAGGUCUGACCCAGUCAUACCGUGUGGUUGACGAAGGCCUUGGGAUUGAAAAAGCCUUUUGUUGGGUAAGAAGAGCAAAAGGUUAAUACCCCGCUGUUCUGACGGUAGCCAAAGAAUAAGCACCGGCUAACUUCGUG